GACGAACUGUCCUACCGUUGUUCGGAAUCACUGGGCUUAAAGGGCGCGUAGGCGGUCCGACAAGUCAGGGGUGAAAUCCUGCAGCUUAACUGCAGAAGUGCCUUUGAUACUGUCGGUCUGGAGGGAGAUAGGGGUGUGCGGAACUUCCAGUGGAGCGGUGAAAUGCGUUGAUAUUGGAAGGAACGCCGGAGGCGAAAGCGGCGCACUGGAUCUCUUCUGACGCUGAGGCGUGAAAGCUAGGGGAGCAAACGGG
rnacentral:rRNA from 1 species